rnacentral:rRNA from 1 species
UACGGAGGGAGCUAGCGUUGUUCGGAAUUACUGGGCGUAAAGCGCGCGUAGGCGGCUUUGUAAGUUAGAGGUGAAAGCCCGGGGCUCAACCCCGGAACUGCCUUUAAGACUGCAUCGCUUGAAUCCGGGAGAGGUGAGUGGAAUUCCGAGUGUAGAGGUGAAAUUCGUAGAUAUUCGGAAGAACACAAGUGGCGAAGGCGGCUCACUGGACCGGCAUUGACGCUGAGGAGCGAAAGCUAGGGGAGCAAACGGG